GAGGGCAUAACUGUCUCCUGUGGCCAAUCAAUGAAUUUGAGCUCACAGUACAAACGCUGUAAUAGAACUAUAAGACGAGAAGACCCUGUGGAGCUUUAAAUACACCACAUUAACUAAUUUAUUAUUAGCAUAAUGUAAAUUUUAAGUUGGGGCGACUAUGGAGUAAAAUUUAACCUCCAUGUAACACGACUAAACUCGUUAUUUAAGGCUUACAAGCCUAACCAAACAAAUGACCCAGUCAAACUGACUAACGAACCAAGUUACCCCAGGGAUAACAGCGCCAUCCCCUUAAAGAGUCCACAUCAC
rnacentral:rRNA from 1 species